CCUACGGGUGGCAGCAGUGAGGAAUAUUGGUCAAUGGGCGCAAGCCUGAACCAGCCAUGCCGCGUGCAGGAUGACGGCCCUACGAGUUGUAAACUGCUUUUGUACGAGGGUAAACGCAGACACGUGUACCUGUCUGAAAGUAUCGUACGAAUAAGGAUCGGCUAACUCCGUGCCAGCAGCCGCGGUAAUACGGAGGAUUCGAGCGUUAUCCGGAUUUAUUGGGUUUAAAGGGAGCGUAGGCGGUCGGUUAAGUCAGAUGUGAAAGUCUGAGGCUCAACCGUGAAAUUGCAUUUGAUACUGGCCGGCUAGAGAGUAGUUGCGGUAGGCGGAAUGUGUGGUGUAGCGGUGAAAUGCUUAGAGAUCAUGAAGAACACCGAUUGCGAAGGCAGCUUACCAAGCUGCUACUGACGUUGAGGCACGAAAGCGUGGGGAGCAAACAGGAUUAGAUACCCGUGUAGUC
rnacentral:rRNA from 1 species